AAAGAAAUGAGUCAAAGUUAAAAAGAUGUUUGGUGUCAAGUACUAUGUCUGUGACCCUAUAUGUCCUGUUGAUGAAGUUAGGUGCUGUUCUGAGCAUUAUUUGUGGCUAUAGAGUGGCGUUUUGGUUGAGCGCGUGGCUCUCUGUAUUUCUAUCCUGCGGUCGUUACUAAAGUUGGUAUAACUAGAGAAGCAAGCGGUCGACAACAUUCAUCUCUGGAGGGGGGGUCUAACUCAGUGUUACGGUUAGUUUGACCCUAAAUUAAAUU